rnacentral:rRNA from 1 species
CCUACGGGUGGCAGCAGUGAGGAAUAUUGGUCAAUGGACGAGAGUCUGAACCAGCCAAGUAGCGUGAAGGAUGACUGCCCUAUGGGUUGUAAACUUCUUUUAUAUGGGAAUAAAAUGUUCCACGUGUGGGAUUUUGUAUGUACCAUAUGAAUAAGGAUCGGCUAACUCCGUGCCAGCAGCCGCGGUAAUACGGAGGAUCCGAGCGUUAUCUGGAUUUAUUGGGUUUAAAGGGAGCGUAGGUGGAUUGUUAAGUCAGUUGUGAAAGUUUGCGGCUCAACCGUAAAAUUGCAGUUGAAACUGGCAGUCUUGAGUACAGUAGAGGUGGGCGGAAUUCGUGGUGUAGCGGUGAAAUGCUUAGAUAUCACGAAGAACUCCGAUUGCGAAGGCAGUUCACUGGACUGCAACUGACACUGAGGCUCGAAAGUGUGGGUAUCAAACAGGAUUAGAUACCCGAGUAGUC